AUUCAGGGGUAUGACUUUAAUGUAGAUUUGUUUGUUGUUGUUAAACAAACAAACAAAACCAAAAAACAAAACAAAACAAAAAAACCAUCCCAGCUUAAGUUUAGGGAAAACAUAACAGGGCCUAUUUUCUGAAAGAGCAGAAAGACUUGAGAGGACAGACAGGAUGAAUAGGCAAGACCUUCUGGGGAGGAACUGACAUGGCUUGGGUACCACUCAUCACUUUGGGCAGCGCUUAUUUAAGUUACAAAUUGGCCAGCUCAGGGACCAGAGGCAGACUACUAAAAAAUUUUUGCUUGUCUUGCACAGUGNUCGCACAGUGUUUUUUAAAUGCCUGACUGUGUCUGCCAAGUCAUCUGGUCCCCCAAUCCCUAGCGACGUACUCCCAUUUGACUUAACUCAUGGACCUUACCAGCUUUGCCCUCGUCAGCAUAGGGGGGUGCCUGGAAAAGAAUGAUGGAACUUGGGAGGGAAAGAAGUGAAAAUGGAGAUUUUAAGAAUAUGUAGAAUUUGAAAGGCAGGUGAGCCCAGUAAGGGUGAAGGCUAGUGGUACAGACAAAAGACUGUGCACAUAGAGAGUUGAGGCUCUGAGAGAAUGAAUCCAAAGACUCUAAAGGCAAAACUCUGGACACCACUCAUAUCUAAGGGCUGUAUAUCACCAGAAUUCCAAUGAAGGGAAAGAAGCCCCUCAACACAAAACAGGUUAGGAGCUCCUGUUAUGGCUCAGCCAUUAACAAACCCGACUAACACCCAUAAGGAUGUGGGUUUGAUCCCUGGCCUUGCUCAGUGGGUUAAGGAUCAGGCGUUGCCUUGAGCUGUGGUGUAGGUUGCAGACGAGGCUCGGAUCCCGCGUUGCUGUGGCUGUGGUGUAGGCCGGUGGCUGCAGAUCCGAUUGGACCCCUAGUCUGGGAACCUCCAUAUGCCUCGGGUGCGGCCCUAAAAAAACAGAAAGACAAAAAAAAGAAAAAAAAAUUACAAAGACUUAAAGAGGGGGUAGAUGUAGGUGUAUAUGGACAAGGCUAACAGCACAGGGAAGGAGCUGGAACAUCCUUCAGUGAUAUGAAAGGUGGAGGAUCUCAGGAUCUGGUGUCUUAAAAGGCCAGUGGAAAGAGAGAGCCAUAGGAGGUAGGGGGUGUAGGCACAAGUGGAAGAGAAAGAUCUGGGCAAGAGGAGGACACAUACCCCUACUAAGGAAAGACCAGCAAAGACGGACAUGUUUUCAAAUACGAGAGAUGUUACUGAGUGCUAGUUGGGUGGCCUAUAGCUAGUCAGGUCAAGUCAGCAGAGUUAUAGGUACAAAACUGAACUUUAGCAGAAAAAGUUCUACGGAAUCUGGCAUAAUUCAGGACAGGCUUGCUGAACAGCAAAGAAAACUCAGCCGAGAUUAGCAAACACUAACUACGCUUCAUAAUGCCGUAAUUUUGUGAUUUUAUUGUCUAUUACAAACUGCAGGUUUGCAAGAGGUUUAAGGGAUUUUUAUUUUUUAGAUGUAAUUAGGAAAGUUAACUUUCCUAUAAAAAUGAUUGGUCUACAAAUAUGAAUUGCAGGCCCAUGAGUGCCACAGCAUACUUUAUUCUUUUUUCUCCUUUUACAGCUGCACCUGCAGCUUAUGAAGUUCCCAGGCUAAAGGGUGGAAUGGGAGCUGCAGCUGCUGGGCUACGCUACAACCACAGCAAUACUGGAUCCGAGCUGCAUCUGCAACCUAUGCCGCAGCUGGCAGCAGCACCAGAUCCUUAACCCACUGAGCACGGCCAGGGACCGAACCAGCAUCCUCAUGGACACUAUGUUGGGUUCUUGAAUCACAACCUGCAUGGUAUAUUCUUAAGUGCACUUGUGUUAAACUAUCAGUCUCUAGGGCAUAGCUCUAGGUUGGGGUCAAAGUUUCUAGUAUGUUAUCUCUUUUUAUCAUAGGAUUGAUUCUCCUCAGGGAUGUUUUUCCCCCCUCUUCUUUGUGGAUGUUGCAAAUUGUGAAACUGAUUAGGAUCCCUUUUGGAGUUAGCUAAUAAUUGAGGGGGGUGGGGAUCUGGAUUCACCUCCAGCUAAGGAACAGAGUUUGGUAGGCUGUUUUAUUGGCCUCACUUCUUCCAAUUUGUAACUCUACCCUCCUUCCUCCUUGUCAUUUGCUUUUGUUAUCUUGUUACAUUUCACAUGUCCUAGAUAUGACUUUAAAUCCUUUUUUGGAACUAAGUAAAAUAUAUAAAUACUAAAAAUAUAAAUACCUGAGGUAUAAGCACCUUAAUACUUGUGGUAAUUAUUAAAUAAAAAGUCCAUCUGCAGUUACAAGGCCGAGAGACCUUUAAAAGCUUUUUGAAAAUCUUACAACCUUCCAUUUAAGAAUAAUGGGUGGUAGUGAAGAGAUCAGAAAGCCAAAUUAUUUAACAGUAGAGGAUUAUAGCAAAAUGAGUCGAAAAAUUAAGACUUGGCCAGAUGCUUGCCCCAAUCCUUUUUGUAUGAGUAGAUAGAUACGUAGCACUAUUACACCUGAGAAUUUAAGGAAAGCAAAUUUGCCCUCUUUAAUUUUGGAAGCUUUCUUUCCAAAUCAACACUAUUCCAAAUCAGUAUCUUGUAGUGGUUAAGAAGGUGGGCUCUGAAGCCAGGACACCUGGUUUCAAAUCCCAGUCCACCAUUAGGGCUGUGUGAACUUUGGGCAACUUAUUUGUUUUCUUCACUUGAAAAAUGGUGUCGGAGUUCCCGUUGUGGCGCAUAAGUUUUAAACAGCACAAAUCGUGUAAAAACCAACACACAACUACACCCUUUUGCUCUUAUGGCUUCACACUUAUCAAAGAAAAGCUCCUAGACAUUACCAAAAUAGGAAAAAUUCUUUAAAGUGCCAGACCUGUCACAAAUUUAAUGUAGAUCAAAUGUAGCAGCUUAUCACAAUCUCGUCUUAAAAUAAUGAAAACAUAUACGGCGUGAAAACAAUAGAUACACUUUGCAGUCCCAUUAGCCGGAAUCAGUCCCACAUGGGAAGGAGUAGGAGUGAAGAAAAGCGUGACAACUGCUUUAGUCCCACUGGAUCCUUCGCUCUUCUUCCGGAAGAAUGCUCCAGUUUGGGGAGGCCACAUCCCGGGCCAGCCAGUUGAAAUCGUCAACGUCGUUCCAGUUAUUUUUGCUCCUAUCUAAACCAGAGCCCUCAAAGUCCUUGUCGAUCCCCGGGUAGCUCCAGGUGUAGGGGGCGAACUGGAUCCCCGUGCAGUCCUCCACGAUGGCCCUGCUGGUCACCAGCAGGAAGACGCGGGUGUCUUUUGUGGUGUGUACGCGGAGCUGCUGGCAGGCCACAGCCAGCACGCAGUCACUGCAGUCCUCCAGGAACACAGAGGUGGACACGGGACCGCAGAGCAGCGUGCAGCCUCGGGCCUUGGUUAGCCGCAGAGUAUUGGGAUUGCCAUACAAUUUGAUCGUGCAAUUACUCAGUUGGGUCAAAAGGACGUCGCGCUGGUGCAGCUCGUCGGCUCUCUUCUCCAAGACUUCGGACUGCAGGUUGGAGAAGCCGCAGACCCAGCUGGAGUCGAAGCCUCCCUCCUCCUUCAAGGGCGGAGAGGAGGCCAGGAUGCCGUCAGCAGCCGGGGCGCCGGGAGCCGAGUCUACUUUGGUGGCUGAAGCGACAUCCUUCCUGCGAGUCUUGAAAGCGAAACGCUUCUUAGGCUGCAGCUCCUGACGCCGCUUGGCCAGGGCCGCCUGCAGCCGCGCCAGCACCUCUUGUCCCUGCCGCAGAUCGUAGGCGGCCAGGAACAAAACCGAAUCGUUGAUAAGUUUCUGCAGCCCCUGUAGCCGAGCGGCCGCCUCCUCCAGCUUCUCGACGGACUCCCCGCCUUCCAGAAGCUCUUCCACGGCCGAUCGCUCCCGAGCGAAGGCGGCGGCGAAAAAGUCGCUCUUUUCCUCCUCCACCUCCUCGUUCUGCCGCUUUUGCUUCCGCCUUUCCACCUCCAGUUGCCGCUCUUGUUCUCGCCUCUGAAGCCGCUCGGGCACCAAGCUCCGGUCCCACUGGGACCCCAAGUCCCCGUUCCGCACAGCAGCAGCAGCCGCAGAGAAACUACUAUCCUCCAUCUUGAC
rnacentral:lncRNA from 1 species